rnacentral:rRNA from 1 species
GACGAACGCUGGCGGCGUGCUUAACACAUGCAAGUCGAGCGGUAAGGCCCUUUCGGGGGUACACGAGCGGCGAACGGGUGAGUAACACGUGGGUGACCUGCCCUUAGCUCUGGGAUAAGCCUGGGAAACUGGGUCUAAUACCGGAUAUGACUCCAUGACGCAUGUUGUGGGGUGGAAAGCCUUGUGCGGCUAGGGAUGGGCCCGCGGCCUAUCAGCUUGUUGGGUGGGGUGAUGGCCACCAAGGCGACGACGGGUAGCCGGCCUGAGAGGGCGACCGGCCACACUGGGACUGAGACACGGCCCAGACUCCUACGGGAGGCAGCAGUGGGGAAUCUUGCGCAAUGGGCGAAAGCCUGACGCAGCGACGCCGCGUGAGGGA